GCGGGAAAUCUUACCGGGUCCGGACACACUGAGGAUUGACAGGUAACGUGUGAGAUACUUCGGUGUCUCACUACAAAUAUGCUAGUCCUUUCAUGAUUAUGUGAUAGGUGGUGCAUGGCCGUUCUUAGUUCGUGGAGUGAUCUGUCUGCUUAAUUGCGUAUCACUAUUGGAUUCAUCAUACAUGCAUUCGUUGCGGCAUUGACCCCACUCUCUCUCGAGAGUGCGCGUGUCUUUCGCUUAGCGCGUUGCAUAUUGGAUCCUGAUAGCAACGAACGUGACCGCAACCUCUUGUUGCGCUGAAUCUCUACUCACAGCGCCAACCAGAGGGACCGCUGUUACUUUCUUAAACCAGAGGAAGGUUGCGGCAAUAACAGGUCUGUGAUGCCCUUAGAUGUUCCGGGCUGCACACGUGCUACAAUGAUUAUUGCAGUGAGCAUCUCAUUAUAUUACUACGCUGCGCGCGGAUCACAUACUUUCACGUAUGAGACCCACGCCGCGGCUAAGCCUACUUCGAAAGUAAGCGGGUAAUCAAUUAGAAGUAAUGAUUUCCCAUUUUUAUAUCUGCACAUAUAUAGGCGCGAUGUAUACCCGGCCUGCCUUGUUGCAGCGCUUUGUGCGUAUGCACUGCCGCCUGUGCAAUUGUCAAUUCAUGGUGGGGACAGACCAUUGUUUCAAUUGUUGGUCUCGGUCUUAACUAGGAAUGCCUUGUACGGGUCUUUGGUUCAACAAACCACCCGGAAUACGUCCCUGCCCUUUGUACACACCGCCCGUCGCUCUUACCGAUGGACUUCUCUGUGAGUUUGAGGGACCGAGCCUCGUAUGUAUUUAUUUAUAUACGUGUACAGGAAACUUAAACGAACAGUGUGGUCUAAAGGAAAGAGAAGUCGUAACAAGGCAUCAGUAGGUGAACCUG
rnacentral:rRNA from 1 species